GUCAAAGAAAUGAAGGCUUACGGUGGAGACCUAGGCACUCAGAGACGAUGAAGGGCGCAGAUACCGGCGAUACGCUUCGGGGAGUUGGUAACAAACAUAGAUCCGAAGAUUCCCGAAUAGGGCAACCUCUUUUUUGAACUCCUUUUUGAAUUCAUAGAAAAGGAAGAGGAAACCCGGUGAACUGAAACAUCUCAGUAGCCGGAGGAAAAGAAAGCAAAAGCGAUUCCCUGAGUAGCGGCGAGCGAAACGGGAACAGCCUAAACCACGGUGCUUCGCGCAAGUGGGGUCGUGGGAAUCCUUAGUGUGUAGUUCGAAAUGUUCGAUGUGCACAAGAAGACGAUUUUGUAGAAAAAAUCGAAAGAAAGAGACGAAGCAGCUGAAUCCUGCACCAUAGAUGGUGAAAGUCCAGUAGUCAAAAUUCUCUGCGGAGCGUAAUUUUGGAAAAUCCCGAGUAGCAUGGGACACGUGGAAUCCCGUGUGAAUCUGCGAGGACCACCUCGUAAGGCUAAAUACUCCUGAGUGACCGAUAGUGAAGAAGUACAGCGAUGGAAAGGUGAAAUAGAACCCCCGUAGGGGAGUGAAAAAGAACAUGAAACCGUAAGCUGACAAGCAGUGGGAGGGAAAACUGACCGCGUGCCUGUUGAAGAAUGAGCCGGCGACUUAUAGGAAGUGGCAGGGUUAAGGAGUUGUAUCCGGAGCCCAAGCGAAAGCGAGUCUGAAUAGGGCGAGUGAGUCACUUCUUAUGGACCCGAACCUGGAUGAUCUAAUCAUGGCCAAGCUGAAGCUUGGGUAACACCAAGUGGAGGGCUGAACCGACCGAUGUUGAAAAAUCGGCGGAUGAGCUGUGAUUAGCGGUGAAAUUCCAAUCGAAUUCAGAGCUAGCUGGAUCUCCCCGAAAUGCGUUGAGGCGCAGCGGCGACGAUGUCCUGUCUAAGGGUAGAGCGACUGUUUCGGUGCGGGCUGCGAAAGCGGUACCAAGUCGUGGCAAACUCCGAAUAUUAGGCAUAGGAUUCCGUGAGCCAGUGAGACUGUGGGGGAUAAGCUUCAUAGUCAAGAGGGAAACAGCCCAGACCAUCAGCUAAGGCCCCCAAAUGAUUGCUAAGUGGAAAAGGAUGUGAGGAUGCUGAAACAACCAGGAGGUUCGCUUAGAAGCAGCUAUACCUUGAAAGAGUGCGUAAUAGCUCACUGGUAAAGCGUUCUUGCGCCGACAAUGGCCGGGACUAAGCAAUCUGCCGAAGCUAUGGGAUUUGUUUUUUUUCAUGGAUCCAGCAAUUUCUUUGCUGGUAGAAAGAACGAAUCGGUAGGGGAGCGUUCGGCACCGGGUGAAGCCCUCACGUAAGUUCGGGUGGACGGUGCCGAAGUGAGAAUGUCGGCUUGAGUAACGAAAACAUUGGUGAGAAUCCAAUGCCCCGAAAACCUAAGGGUUCCUCUACAAGGUUCGUCCAUGGGGGGUGAGUCAGGACCUAAGGCGAGGCCGAGCGGCGUAGUCGAUGGCAAACAGGUUAAUAUUCCUGUACUAGUUUUUGUGGGAACCGAGGGACGAAGAAAGCUAAGUUGGGUCUGUUUUUGGAUUGCAGUGGAAACGUUCAAGGCUGCGAAAGAUCGAAGAAAAACGAAUCUUGAGCUGAGACGUGAUCCCGCUUUCUAGACUUGUUCUGGAUAAGCGCCAAUGAUGUUCUACUUCCAAGAAAAGCUCGUACACCUCUAAAUAUUUAGAAAAACACAAAAAUUACCUGUACCUGAAACCGACACAGGUAGGUUGGUAGAGAAUACCAAGGGGCGCGAGAGAACUCUCUCUAAGGAACUCGGCAAACUAGCCCCGUAACUUCGGGAGAAGGGGCGCCCUAUUCAACGAGGGUCGCAGUGUCGUGGAUCUGGCAACUGUUUAUCAAAAACACAGGUCUCCGCAAAGUCGUAAGACAAUAUAUGGGGGCUGACGCCUGCCCAGUGCCGGAAGGUCAAGGAAGUUGGUUAGGAAUCCUCGGAAUCCGAAGCUGACGACCGAAGCCCCGGUGAACGGCGGCUGUAACUAUGACAGUUACUUUUAGGGCUGUCUGUAAAGAUGAAAGAUAUAGUCCUUGUUUCAUUCUUUAAUAAAAUUGAAUGAAACCGUGAAGCUAUUUGCCUAAGGUAGCGAAAUUCAUUGUCGAGUAAGUUUCGACCUGCACGAAAGGCGUAAUGAUCAGAUCGCUGUCUCGGAGAGAGGCUCGGUGAAAUAGACUUGUCCGUGAAGAUGCGGACUACUAAUACUUGGACAGAAAGACCCUAUGAAGCUUGACUGUAUCCUGGAAUUGGGUUCGGGCUUUUCUUGCGCAGUCUAGGUGGGAGGCUAAGAAGAUUUCCUUCCGGGGAAGUUGGAGCCAUCAGUGAGAGACCACUCUGGAGAGGCUAGAAUCCUAAUGGUGAUCCUUGAAUCAGGACACUUGACAGUUUCAGGUGGGCAGUUUUUCUGGGGCGGAAGCCUCAUAAAGGGUAACUGAGGCGCGCAAAGGUUCCCUCAGUCUGGACGGAAAUCAGACUCAGAGUGUAAAGGCAAAAGGGAGCUUGACUGCAAGACCAACAAGUCGAGCAGGAGCGAAAGCUGGCCUUAGUGAUCCGACGGUGCCGCGUGGAAGGGCCGUCGCUCAACGAAUAAAAGUUACUCUAGGGAUAACAGGCUGAUCUUCUCCAAGAGUUCACAUCGACGAGAAGGUUUGGCACCUCGAUGUCGGCUCAUCACAUCCUGGGGCUGUAGUAGGUCCCAAGGGUUGGGCUGUUCGCCCAUUAAAGUGGUACGUGAGCUGGGUUCAGAACGUAAACUUUACUGCGUUUAUCGAUAGUAAUAUUCGAUAUAGUAUUGACAAAAUUCGGUGCGUAAGACAGUUCGGUCCAUAUCCGGUAUUAGCGUUAGAAUAUUGAGGUCAAUCACUCAUAGUACGAGAGGACCUGUAGUGAACAUGCCAAUGGUGUACCUGUUAUUUUUCCAAAAGUAAACGCAGGGUAGCUACGCAUGGAGUGAAUAAGUACUGAAUGCAUCUAAGUACGAAGUCCAGACCAAGAUGAGUAUUCUCCAUAAGGCCGCAGCAAGAUAAGCUGUUGUAUAGGUAUCAAGUGUAAGGCCAGUAAUGGUUUCAGCUGAGAUAUACUAAAGGCUAAUCGAUUUUGAC
rnacentral:rRNA from 1 species